GAAAGACACACACAGCACACGGGGGAUGCCUCGGGUGCCAGAAGGCGAAGAAGGUCGUGGCACGCCACGAAACGCCUCGGGGAGCCGCGUCGCAGGCCCUGAUCCGAGGAUGACCGAAUGGGGCAACCCCUCGGCCGACCGGCCGAGACGGCGUUCCGUCAGGGAACGACCGGGCUAAACACGGGAACUGAAACAUCUCAGUACCGUGAUCGGAAAAGCAAACGCGAACUCCCAAGUAGCGGCGAGCGAACGGGAGCCUGUCUAAACGGAUCGGCCUUGUCCGGGCUGGAGGCCCUGCCGAUCCGGGUUGCGGGCGAUGCGGAGGGCAACCUCCAGGGAGACCCGCGGCGCGUGCGCGCCGCUGUUUGAAGCUGUUGGAAUGCAGCGCCCCAGCGGGUGAAAGCCCCGUCGAACAGCAUACGUACGCCCCGUGCCGCAUCAGCCCAAGUACCACCCGGCUCGUGAAACCGGGUGGGAAGCGGGGUGGCCCACCACCCAAGACUCCCGACUUCUGGUCACCGAUAGCGCACAGUACCGUGAGGGAACGGUGAAAAGCCCCCCGGGAGGGGAGUGAAAGAGACCCUGAAACCGUGUGCUGACAAUCCGUCAGAGUCCCCUAUGGGGGAUGAUGGCGUGCCUAUUGAAGAAUGAACCGGCGAGUGACCGGUCCCCGCUAGGUUAACUCCCGUGAGGGAGGGAGCCGGAGCGCAAGCAAGUCUACUCGGGCGUGAGUGGGGGGCGGUCGACCCGAAACCGUGUGAUCUAGCCGGCGCCAGGCUGAAGUCCCCUUAACCCGGGAUGGAGGGCCGCACCCGUGUCCGUUGAAAAGGGCUGGGAUGAGUGGCGGCUAGGGGUGAAAUGCCAAUCGAACACGGAGAUAGCUGGUUCUCCCCGAAAUCGCUUGAGGGCGAGCCUCGGGUGAGCGCGGCCUGCGGGGUAGCGCUCUGUGAAUGGAAGGGGUCCCGCCGGGAUUACUGCCUGUUCGCAAACGACAAAGUCGCAGGCCCGCAUCCGGGAGUCAGACGCUGGGGGAUAAGCUCCAGGGUCAAAAGGGCAACAGCCCAGAUCGUCCGUUAAGGUCCCCAAAUCACCGCUGAGUGGGCAAGGACGUCGAUGGGCCCAGACAGCCAGGAGGUUGGCUUAGAAGCAGCCAUCCUUGAAAGAGUGCGUAAUAGCUCACUGGUCGUAGUCCGCCGGCGCCGACAAUGUUCGGGGCUAAGCGGUGUACCGAAACGGCGACACCCCGGGCGUCAGCCCGGGAUGGGUAGGGGAGCGUCCCCGGGGGGGUGAAGCGGGCGUGGAAACGCGCGUGGACCGCCGGGGAGUGCGAAUGCCGGUAUGAGUAGCGAACAGGGAUGUGCGAAUCAUCCCCGCCGAAAGCCGCCGGGUUCCGGAGCUAGGAUCGUCCACUCCGGGUUAGUCGGACCUAAGGCGAGGCCGUUAAGGCGUAGUCGAUGGAGACACGGUCGAGAUUCCGUGACCUCCCUGACGUGGCGAACGUUGUGGGACAGUUCCGGUGGGAGAAGCGCCCCGUUGGUCGUGGGCGUCGGCCGUCAGGCCGGGACCCGUCGCCGCGAGGCGGCGGGAUAGUCGCCCUGCCGGGGCUCCAGAAAAGCACAACCGGAGCGUUAGGGAGUCCGUACCCGAAACCGACACAGGUAGGCGAGGCGAGGAGCCUCAGGCGCGCGAGUCACCUCUCGUUAAGGAACUCGGCAAAAUGCCCCCGUACCUUCGGAAGAAGGGGGCCCGGCCCGGUCUCGGGCCGGGGACACACAAGAGACCCAAGCGACUGUUUACCAAAAACACAGGUCCCUGCGAAGUCGUAAGACGCCGUAUAGGGGCUGACGCCUGCCCGGUGCUGGAAGGUGAAGGAGCGGGGUUCACGCCUCAACCCGAAGCCCCAGUCAACGGCGGCCGUAACUAUAACGGUCCUAAGGUAGCGAAAUUCCUUGUCGGGUAAGUUCCGACCCGCACGAAAGGCGUAACGACUUGGGUACUGUCUCAACGAGAGACUCGGUGAAAUUGCAAGCCCUGUGAAGAUGCAGGGUACUGACGACUGGACAGAAAGACCCCGUGGAGCUUGACUGCAGCCUGCUAUGGGUCGUUCGGGCCCCGUGUACAGGAUAGGUGGGAGGCGGAGAAGCCGCCGCGUCAGCGGCGGGGGAGCCAAUCUUGGGAUACCACCCUCGUGGUCGGACCGAUCUAACCGUCCGCGCAACCCGCGGCGGGACAGUGGCAGGGGGGCAGUUUGACUGGGGCGGUCGCCUCCCAAAUCGUAACGGAGGCGCCCCAUGGUUCCCUCAGCACGGUUGGACAUCGUGCAGGGCGUGCAAAGGCACAAGGGAGCUUGACUGCAAGCGGGACACCGCGCGCAGGGCCGAAAGGCGGGCUUAGUGAUCCGGUGGCACCGGGUGGCAGGGCCAUCGCGCAACGGAUAAAAGCUACCCCGGGGAUAACAGGCUGAUCUUCCCCAAGAGUCCAUAUCGACGGGAAGGUUUGGCACCUCGAUGUCGGCUCAUCGCAUCCUGGGGCUGGAGUCGGUCCCAAGGGUUGGGCUGUUCGCCCAUUAAAGCGGUACGUGAGCUGGGUUCAGAACGUCGUGAGACAGUUCGGUCCCUAUCCGUCGUCAGCGCAGGAUUCUUGCGGGGGGCUGCUCCUAGUACGAGAGGACCGGAGUGGACGAACCGCUGGUGUGCCCAGUUGUGCUGCCAAGCGCAACGCUGGGAAGCUAGGUUCGGGAUGGAGAAGCGCUGACCGCAUCUAAGCGCGAAACCAGCCCCAAGAUGAGGAAUCCCGUCCGGCGCUUUAGCGCCGGGCCCCGACCCCCGCUAGAACAGCGGGUGGAUAGGCGGACCGUGGACAGCGGGCAACCGUUGGAGCGAGUCCGUACUAAUCGGUCGGCCGUCUUUCUCCUC
rnacentral:rRNA from 1 species